UGGGGAAUAUUUGACAAUGGGCGAAAGCCUGAUCCAGCCAUGCCGCGUGUGUGAAGAAGGUCUUCGGAUUGUAAAGCACUUUAAGUUGGGAGGAAGGGCAGUAAGCGAAUACCUUGCUGUUUUGACGUUACCGACAGAAUAAGCACCGGCUAACUCUGUGCCAGCAGCCGCGGUAAUACAGAGGGUGCAAGCGUUAAACGGAAUUACUGGGCGUAAAGCGCGCGUAGGUGGUUCGUUAAGUUGAAUGUGAAAGCCCCGGGCUCAACCUGGGAACUGCAUCCAAAACUGGCGAGCUAGAGUAGGGCAGAGGGUGGUGGAAUUUCCUGUGUAGCGGUGAAAUGCGUAGAUAUAGGAAGGAACACCAGUGGCGAAGGCGACCACCUGGGCUCAUACUGACACUGAGGUGCGAAAGCGUGGGGAGCAAACAGG
rnacentral:rRNA from 1 species